GCAAUCCACCCCGCGGGAUCUUCACCAUGGAAUGACGGCAACUCGAUUUUCUUCAUCGAUUGGCGAAACUCCAAUAGAUCAUCUCCAUCAAGCGGUUUCAUACUCGGAAACGCCUUCGGUAUAGUCUUUACCGAAUUCGUUUUCUUCGGUCCUACAGACCCCUGUCCUUCGUCCUCCUCCUCUCUACCCUUUGUAAAUUCUGACAUUAGAUUCAGCAACUUUGAUUGAUUCUCAGNUGCUUCCUUACGUAAUAUUGCGAUCUGCUCCGC
rnacentral:lncRNA from 1 species